UCCGAAUUAGUGUAGGGGUUAACAUAACUCGCUUUCAAUCAUCUUCUGCUUCUAGCAACUGAUCACUGAACCGAGUAGCCCCGGGUUCGAUUCCCGGAUUCGGAA